rnacentral:tRNA from 1 species
GACCACGUAGCUCAGUUGGCAGAGCAUUGGGCUAGCAUUCCAAAGGUCGUAGGUUCGAUUCCCACCGGGGUCA